CUCCUACCUCCUCUUCAGGAAGACAGCUGUGAGAGAUACUUUAUGGCUCUUUAGAAUAUCCCAGCAGCAUCAAGCCUUGGGCAUUCACAAUGACGAUCAACUUGAUAACAUGGCCUUUUCUCCCUUCUUUCUCUUCUGUUUUCUAGAUUGUCUCUUAAGUAAGCUGUCUUAAGGGGCCAUCCGGGAUUAGUCUUGCCUGUUACAUGCUUCAUUGGAAGUUCUUAAGGCUACAGUUGGGCUUGAAGAUUUGCAAGAAAGACUCACAGAACUCAAAAGAGCUGGCUUUAAGAUAUCUUGAAACCAGGAAGAGCUUGCUGAAGGGCGGACAUGACUAUGUCUGUCAUUGUAAAAGAACGGCCCUGAUGAUAAAUUGAUAAUUUGACUGAAGAACUCUCUUUAGCACUUUUUUGUAGAAAAGACCUGGUGUUGAUGAAGUUCUUCAGCUUUUGUCUGGAUGCUGCUAGGAACGUUGUGUCCUGUCUGUGAGCUCCUAUGUGCUGAGCAAAUGAACAUAGCAUGUGACUUUUGGAAGAAUGAUUCAGAGACCACUUUGGAAAAAAGAUGUGCUUUUACCAGACACAAAUGAAGAUCACAUGAUUUGUCCAGUGUUUCCUCCAAGCCCUCAAAUUGUAAGAGAACCCAAGUCACUAAACGUCAAAGGUAACUUUUUAUUAAUUAAGCAAGAGACCAGAAAAAUAAAAUCAGCAGCAGAUUUUUAAUUAAUUCUACUGUAACAAUGAACCUACACAUGGUCUUUUAGGAGUCAAAUAAAAUAGGAAUGUAAACUAUGUAUUCUAAAAUCCAUGUAAAGUUCAGAAUCAGAUAUUCAGAAGGAAUGAGCCACACUACCAAUUAAAAUAUCUGUUAAAAAUUCAAGGCAGAUAAUCUAUUUUUGUUUUGAGUCUUAAAAAAUUUAUCAUAAUGGCAAAAAUGAAUGAUUGUUACUUUUGGGGACAGCCAGACUUGAGCUAGGACUUGCAGGACAGAAAAAGUCUUGCUCAGGAGGGCAGAUGAUCUAAAUUAAUUUCCAUUUUCUUUUUUUUUUUUUUUUUUGAGAUGGAAUGCUGCUGUGUUGCCCAGACUGGAGUGCAGUUGUGUGAUCUCGGCUCACUGCAAACUUCACCUUCUGAGUUCAAGUGAUUCUCCUGCCACAGCCUCCCAAGUAACUGGGACUACAGGUGCCCGCCAUCACACCUGGCUAACUUGUAUUUUUAGUAGAGAUGGUGUUUCGCCAUGUUGGUCAGGCUGGUCUCGAACUCCUGAUCUCAGGUGAUCCACUCGCCUCACAGCCCCUCAAAGUGCUGGGAUUACAGGCAUGAGUCAUCGCACCUGGCCUAAUUUCCAUUUUCUUAGUAACCAAUAUGCAUGAGUCUUAUUUUCUACCUCACACAUGAGUCUCAUUUCUUAACUCAUGAGACAAAUCUUUAUACAUUUUUCUUAAGUUAUAGAGCCCAGAACUGGACAGUUUAUUGGUAAACAUCUGUUCAGCAUUGAGCUUUCAUUUCCAUACAGGAAGGCGAACACCUAAAUUAAGCAGAAACUUACAAACCAGUUUGAGGAGCCAGCACCCAGAAGCUAGGUGCCCCCAUUAUCUUUGAAUCAAAUGUUUGUGGAGGGAAAAAUAGAAUGUUUCAAAGUACUCACGUAUGUGAUUACAUAACAAACAGUUUGGCUACUGUAAAUAAAAUAUUUUGGUCUUUUUCAACAACUUAAAACUUAUUUUAAGAAUAUUUUUUUCUGAGCAAAUGUAGGUUCCACCAAAAAUAAAAUUUUAUAAUAAUCAUCCCCUUUUAACAUAAAAUAUCCCAGUUUUCUAAUAAUUUUUUUUCUGAGACAGGAUCUCACUCUGUUGCCCAGGCUGGAUUGCAG
rnacentral:lncRNA from 10 species